ensembl:snRNA U6 U6 spliceosomal RNA
GUAUUGGCUUUGGCAGCACAUAUACUAAAAUUAGAAUGAAACAGAUUAGCAUGACCCCUAUACAAGUAUGAUGUGCAAAUUCAUGGAGCAUUUCUUUCUUUC